CCCUCGUCUAACAACCGCAUUUGAUUACAGUAAGGCUCAGAGUUGAGGAACUUUUUUCAGGAUUACUGCCAGUUUCCUCCAGCACACACACACACACACACUGCUGGAUGCUGGAGCGUCUCUGUGAAAGCGGAGUGGGCUGAGACUAUAAUGAGAGCGGUAUGAAGGGAUGAUGUUGAAGACUGGCCGAGCCAGUCAGGGAUAAACAGUGGGGAGUUUCCUUCAGAUUCUACGAUCUGCUCUUCUGGUUUGUCUCUGUUCGGCAGUCCAAUCUGCUUUGAUCCUGGAGAAGCUAAAAGAGGCUAUAAAAAGGAGAAAAAAGCCAGUAUAAUGUCAUCAAGGAUUCCAGUGAAUUCUCGACAGUAUCUCAAAAUGUGCUCAAGAUACAUGUGUCUGCGGUCAAAUAGGAAAUACAAUUGAUUCUUAACUGAGAACUCCUGUUUGUCUCUUGAGCAACAUUUGAGCAAUAGGACUGUCCUCCAGGACCCUAAACCCUUCUGUUCAAAUUUGUGCCUAAUAACCUCGCUGGACCCCACAACUAUCCUCCUGGCAUGGAUCGCUGGACAUUUCAGAAGAGCAAGGAAUAUUAGGACUGGAGAAUUACAGUCCUUCUUUGGAGUUUGUGAAGCUUAUGGAUUCCACCUCACGCCAGACUGCACUUUAUUUUGCAAGAAUUUGAUGCGGUCUGUUUGACCCAUCCUUGUUUCAUGUGGCAGCAACCCUUUACACUUCCUUCCCCACAUACUGUAAAGCAAAUUACUUAAUUUAGUGAUAUGAGAAACAUCAGACAGAGACAAAAGCCAAAUGGAGGACGUCAUAGGAAAUGGGUUUUAAUAAAACAUCCUUCAAAGGCAUUUUGAAAUGAUUACACAUGACUAAUGAUUUCAUAAAAUGACUUAAUUAAGUUCACUCUCCUUGGGUGGCAAGUAAAUGCACAAAUAAAGGGUUGCAUAGGCCUAAUAAAUUGUAAAACCUAAAACAGCCAACAUGGAAGUGAUUCAAAUUGCAUGUAUACUGCUACACCACUUUUCCUGACUUGUAUCAUGGUAAUGCUGUGGUAUUCUUAAAGUACCUCAGAGUACCAUGCAAGUGCAAUUUUUUGUUCUAUGUCUGUAUGGUGUUGGUAUGGUCCAUCAGAGAACAUCACUAUACUCUGGCAUGGUAUUUUUUAUUUUUUGCAAAAGAUACACACCUUCAGAUAAAAAUCUUUUUCCCAAUGUAACAAAAGACUUUUUUAGAUUCUUCACAUCUGCCUCACAAAGACCGCAAAUUAAUUUUACUGGAGGCAAUAAGUGA
ensembl:lncRNA